rnacentral:rRNA from 1 species
GAUGAACGCUAGCGGCAGGCCUAAUACAUGCAAGUCGAACGGUGUAGCAAUACACAGUGGCGCACGGGUGCGUAACACGUAUGCAACCUACCUUACAUUGGGGGAUAGCCUUUCGAAAGGGAGAUUAAUACCGCAUAAGACAGUAACUAGGCAUCUAGUAGCUGUUAAAGAUUUAUCGAUGUAAGCUGGGCAUGCGUCCAAUUAGUUAGUUGGCGAGGUAAUGGCUCACCAAGACGAUGAUUGGUAGGGGAACUGAGAGGUCAAUCCCCCACAGGGGACAGGAGAUACGGGCCAGAUGCCGACGGGAGGCAGCAGUAGGGAAUAUUGGGCAAUGGGCGCAAGCCUGACCCAGCCAUGCCGCGUGCAGGAAGAAGGCGUUAUGCGUUGUAAACUGCUUUUAUACAGGAAGAAACGACCCUUGCGAGGGGCAUUGACGGUACUGUAUGAAUAAGCACCGGCUAACUCCGUGCCAGCCGCCGCCGUAAUAC